rnacentral:rRNA from 1 species
GACGAACGCGGCGGCGUGCCUAAUACAUGCAAGUAGAACGCUGAAGGAGGAGCUUGCUUCUCUGGAUGAGUUGCGAACGGGUGAGUAACGCGUAGGUAACCUGCCUGGUAGCGGGGGAUAACUAUUGGAAACGAUAGCUAAUACCGCAUAAUAGCAGUUAUUGCAUGAUAACUGUUUGAAAGGUGCAAUUGCAUCACUACCAGAUGGACCUGCGUUGUAUUAGCUAGUUGGUGGGGUAACGGCUCACCAAGGCGACGAUACAUAGCCGACCUGAGAGGGUGAUCGGCCACACUGGGACUGAGACACGGCCCAGACUCCUACGGGAGGCAGCAGUAGGGAAUCUUCGGCAAUGGACGGAAGUCUGACCGAGCAACGCCGCGUGAGUGAAGAAGGUUUUCGGAUCGUAAAGCUCUGUUGUAAGAGAAGAACGAGUGUGAGAGUGGAAAAGUUCACACUGUGACCGGU